GACGGUACUUGAUGAAUAAGCCACGGCUAAUUCCGUGCCAGCAGCCGCGGUAAUACGGGAGUGGCAAGCGUUAUCCGGAAUUAUUGGGCGUAAAGCGUCCGCAGGCGGUCUUAUAAGUCUGUCGUUAAAGCGUGGAGCUUAACUCCAUUUAAGCGAUGGAAACUGUAAGACUAGAGUGUGGUAGGGGCAGAGGGAAUUCCCGGUGUAGCGGUGAAAUGCGUAGAUAUCGGGAAGAACACCAGUGGCGAAGGCGCUCUGCUGGGCCAUAACUGACGCUCAUGGACGAAAGCCAGGGGAGCGAAAGGGAUUAGAUACCCCUGUAGUCCUGGCCGUAAACGAUGAACACUAGGUGUCGGGGGAAUCGACCCCCUCGGUGUCGUAGCCAACGCGUUAAGUGUUCCGCCUGGGGAGUACGCACGCAAGUGUGAAACUCAAAGGAAUUGACGGGGGCCGCACAAGCGGUGGAGUAUGUGGUUUAAUUCGAUGCAACGCGAAGAACCUUACCAGGGUUUGACAUCCUGCGAAUCUCUUGGAAACGAGAGAGUGCCUUCGGGAACGCAGUGACAGGUGGUGCAUGGCUGUCGUCAGCUCGUGUCGUGAGAUGUUGGGUUAAGUCCCGCAACGAGCGCAACCCACGUCGUUAGUUGCCAGCAUUUAGUUGGGCACUCUAGCGAGACCGCCGGUGAUAAACCGGAGGAAGGUGUGGAUGACGUCAAGUCAUCAUGCCCCUUACAUCCUGGGCUACACACGUACUACAAUGCUACGGACAAAGGGCAGCAAACUCGCGAGAGCUAGCAAAUCCCAUAAACCGUGGCUCAGUUCAGAUCGUAGGCUGCAACUCGCCUACGUGAAGGAGGAAUCGCUAGUAAUCGCAGGUCAGCAUACUGCGGUGAAUACGUUCCCGGGCCUUGUACACACCGCCCGUCACACCAUGGAAGUUGGCCACGCCCGAAGCCGUUACUCCAACCCUUGUGGAGGAGGAUGU
rnacentral:rRNA from 1 species